rnacentral:rRNA from 1 species
GACGAACGCUGGCGGCGUGCUUAACACAUGCAAGUCGAACGAUGAAGCUGGAGCUUGCUCCGGUGGAUUAGUGGCGAACGGGUGAGUAACACGUGAGUAACCUGCCCUUGACUCUGGGAUAACUCCGAGAAAUCGGUGCUAAUACCGGAUAUGACCUUGGAAGGCAUCUUCUGAGGUGGAAAGUUUUUCGGUCAAGGAUGGACUCGCGGCCUAUCAGCUUGUUGGUGAGGUAAUGGCUCACCAAGGCAACGACGGGUAGCCGGCCUGAGAGGGUGACCGGCCACACUGGGACUGAGACACGGCCCAGACUCCUACGGGAGGCAGCAGUGGGGAAUAUUGCACAAUGGGCGAAAGCCUGAUGCAGCAACGCCGCGUGAGGGACGAAGGCCUUCGGGUUGUAAACCUCUUUUAGUAGGGAAGAAGCGAAAGUGACGGUACCUACAGAAAAAGCACCGGCUAACUACGUGCCAGCAGCCGCCGUAAAAC